UCCUGCACCUAUUUUAUUGGAAAGAAUAUACCUACUGUGAUAUUUUGUUUUAGCAUAAAUCUAUGGGCAUUGAGCACACGUCCCAAGGAACCCAUGCAACAAGUGGCAACUUGGAUAAAUCAGAACCAUCUAUAUGUUCUAUCACGGGCAUUGCACUUGCCUAUACCAAUAUGUACAAAAACAUAAGAGCAAUCGCAUGACAACGUACAAUUUCCCUGGGGGCCACAGUUUAAGGUUCCUUAAAUGCAUGCCUCAUGGACCAUGAAGCAAAUCCAAUAGCCUCAUAGGUUCUUUUUUCUUCUUUUACAGAUAUAUGGUGGUUAUUCACCAUUACUUAGAUGGCUCACAAGUCUUGAUGCACUCAAUUGCGUGCAGAUGUAGGGUUCAUGAUUCACCAGGACCAUUGGACACUCCACACCCCACGACAUGCAUUGUAUGGUACAUGUAACCUGUGAAAACAGUUAUC
rnacentral:lncRNA from 1 species